GACGAACGCUGGCGGCGUGCCUAAUACAUGCAAGUAGAACGCACAGUUUAUACCGUAGCUUGCUACACCAUAGACUGUGAGUUGCGAACGGGUGAGUAACGCGUAGGUAACCUGCCUGGUAGCGGGGGAUAACUAUUGGAAACGAUAGCUAAUACCGCAUAAUAUUAAUUAUUGCAUGAUACUUAAUUGAAAGGUGCAAUUGCACCACUACCAGAUGGACCUGCGUUGUAUUAGCUAGUAGGUGAGGUAACGCUCACCUAGGCGACGAUACAUAGCCGACCUGAGAGGGUGAUCGGCCACACUGGGACUGAGACACGGCCCAGACUCCUAAGGGAGGCAGCAGUAGGGAAUCUUCGGCAAUGGACGAAAGUCUGACCGAGCAACGCCGCGGGAGUGAAGAAGGGUUUCGGAUCGUAAAGCUCUGUUGUAAGAGAAGAACGGGUGUGAGAGUGGAAAGUUCACACUGUGACGGUAGCUUACCAGAAAGGGACGGCUAACUACGUG
rnacentral:rRNA from 1 species